rnacentral:rRNA from 1 species
GACUGUUUACCAAAAACAUAGCCCUAGACCACUUCUAAGGUGUAACCUGCCCAAUGGUUUUAAAUUAAAUAUAAUUAAAAUUAUAAAAUAAAACUAAAAGGACGCGGUAACCUUGACCGUGAUAAUGUAGCAUAAUCAUUCGCCAUUUAAUUGAUGGAUAGUAUGAAUGGUUGAACGAAUAUUCCACUGUCUUAAAAAGAAAACCCCAAAAAUUAGAAUAAUAGUUAAGAUACUAUUUAAAAUUGUAAGACGAAAAGACCCUAUAGAGCUUAACUAUAAUCUUUCUUAAAUAAUAAAAACAUAAAUUUAACAACAGAAAGAUUGGUAGUUUAGUUGGGGCGACUAUCUUCUAAAAUUAACGAAGAAAAGCAAAGUUAAUAAAAACAACUUAUUGUAUAAUCAAUCCAUUUAACAAUUAUAAAAAUAGGCAAUAAUGACCCGUUAGAUUCCCAUAAAAAAACUAACGAUCAAUAAAUAAAAGCUACCUUAGGGAUAACAGGAUAAUUUCAUUUUAGAGAUCCUAUCGAAAAUGAAGUUUGUCACCUCUAUGUUGAAUUAAGAUAACCCAGCAAUGCAGAAGUUGUUAAAGGUAGGUCUGUUCGACCUUUAAAAUCUUACAUGAUUUGAGUUC